rnacentral:rRNA from 1 species
UUUGAUGGCGACCGGCGCACGGGUGAGUAACACGUAUCCAACCUGCCGAUGACUCGGGGAUAGCCUUUCGAAAGAAAGAUUAAUACCGAUGGCAUAGUUCUUCCGCAUGGUAGAACUAUUAAAGAAUUUCGGUCAUCGAUGGGGAUGCGUUCCAUUAGGUUGUUGGCGGGGUAACGGCCCACCAAGCCUUCGAUGGAUAGGGGUUCUGAGAGGAAGGUCCCCACAUUGGAACUGAGACACGGUCCAAACUCCUACGGGAGGCAGCAUG